rnacentral:tRNA from 1 species
GGCCCCUUAGCCAAGCGGCCUAAGGCAGCGGAUUGCAAAUCCGCCAUUCCCGGGUUCGAAUCCCGGAGGGGCCU